AGGCUGGGCACCCCUAUGGAAACAUCUGUCCCUGCCAGUCAGCCUGAGGACGCGUCCGCCCCUCCCAGCGGGCACUUCUGCCGGGGCAGGGAGGUGGCCAGGGGCCGAGCCCCGUGGGCGCUGGCGCCACCUGCUGGCCUCGCGACUGGUGGGCGGGCCCCUGCUGGGGGGGUGGGGCUAGUCCUCCCUCUCAGGGCGGCCAGUCCCCCCUCCUCCGUCCGCUCCCGCGCGUGUAUUCUGCACCUGUGCCCCAAAGGGCUGGGGCCCUCGCAGAGCAAGCGGCGAAACUGCGAGGGGGGGGGGCGGGCAGCUCAGGAUGCCAGGGGCCAGGGAACCAGCACCGCAGCCAGCCCGCAACUCUGGAGCAGGCCUCCCGGAGGAAGGGAAGACGGAGAUGGCGAAACAGGUUCAGAGAGAGAAGGAAUUUGCAGGGGGCCGGCAGGUGGUAGGAAGCAGCACCUCCCGCCGCCCAGGCUGGAGGACAGCCACGCCUGGCUUCCGCCGCAACAGAAGUGUGUGACAGAGGAGGGGACGGCCCCAUGGGAGCCUCCGGCCUGUGACACUGGAGGAGAGCCGGAAAAGGAGCAGCCAGGGAGGGAGUAAAGAGUUUGGAGAAGGUGGACGGGACCGGCAGGGUCAGAGGUCAGGGGUCACACAAGAGAAAAACUGAGACUGGACACAGUGCCCAAGUGGCAGCAGCCCCGGUCAGUGCGGGUGGGAAGGAGGGGGCACAGAAGCCCGGGACAGCAGAGUAGUGUGCUGUCAGGGCCUGGCCCGGAGGGGUCUGCGAAGGCUGGGGCCUGGGGGCCACUGUCCACACCUUGGGCUGGACACAAGAGGUGACCGGGGGUGCUGGGGAUCCAGUGAGAGUGGGGAGCAGUCUGAGCACCCCCGGGCUCCUGACAGGGGCCCUUGUGCAAGGACGCUGGAGCUAGAGAGUGCUGUGGAGGCGCCGGGCCCGAAGCCCGUCGCCUGAGGUGCUGAGCUGCAGGUGGCUUGGCCCCACUAGCCCACCGUCCACACCGAAGUCAGCCGCGGCGACGGACCUUACACCGUGGGAACCGGCAGUUGCCACAAACCCGGGCUUUGGUAAACAUGAAUGAGCACCUCAUCCUUCUACGCUCUCCUGCCCCCACUUUACAGAAAAGGAAACUGAGGCCCA
rnacentral:lncRNA from 1 species